GGCCCCAUAGCUCAGUUGGAUAGAGCAGCCGCCUUCUAAGCGGCAGGUCGCAGGUUCGAAUCCUGCUGGGGUCG
rnacentral:tRNA from 1 species